UUUAUUGGGCGUAAAGCGAGCGCAGGCGGUUAGAUAAGUCUGAAGUUAAAGGCAGUGGCUCAACCAUUGUAGGCUUUGGAAACUGUUUAACUUGAGUGCAGAAGGGGAGAGUGGAAUUCCAUGUGUAGCGGUGAAAUGCGUAGAUAUAUGGAGGAACACCGGUGGCGAAAGCGGCUCUCUGGUCUGUAACUGACGCUGAGGCUCGAAAGCGUGGGGAGCGAACAGGAUUAGAUACCCUGGUAGUCCACGCCGUAAACGAUGAGUGCUAGGUGUUAGGUCCUUUCCGGGACUUAGUGCCGCAGCUAACGCAUUAAGCACUCCGCCUGGGGAGUACGACCGCAAGGUUGAAACUCAAAGGAAUUGACGGGGGCCCGCACAAGCGGUGGAGCAUGUGGUUUAAUUCGAAGCAACGCGAAGAACCUUACCAGGUCUUGACAUCCCGAUGCCCGCUCUAGAGAUAGAGCUUUACUUCGGUACAUCGGUGACAGGUGGUGCAUGGUUGUCGUCAGCUCGUGUCGUGAGAUGUUGGGUUNNNNNNCGCAACGAGCGCAACCCUUAUUGUUAGUUGCCAUCAUUCAGUUGGGCACUCUAGCGAGACUGCCGGUAAUAAACCGGAGGAAGGUGGGGAUGACGUCAAAUCAUCAUGCCCCUUAUGACCUGGGCUACACACGUGCUACAAUGGCUGGUACAACGAGUCGCAAGCCGGUGACGGCAAGCUAAUCUCUGAAAGCCAGUCUCAGUUCGGAUUGUAGGCUGCAACUCGCCUACAUGAAGUCGGAAUCGCUAGUAAUCGCGGAUCAGCACGCCGCGGUGAAUACGUUCCCGGGCCU
rnacentral:rRNA from 1 species